AAAAGCACUAUUUUGGGUUUGCUCAUCAAUUAAAGCUAGCUUGCUUUACACUACUGCCAGUGCCAUCAUUAAGUGUGGCAUGCAACUGCAGAGUCUGCAACCCCUUACUUGGUUCACGAGAAACAAAUCAACAAGCAACCAUACGGUGACCAUCCUUCACGGUUCGCAAUUUCCCCACUCCCCUCUCUCUGGAAUUAGCAAGGCGCCCUUCAGCCACUCGACACGAGCGUCCGAUUUCCGACAGACCUCCGAUCUCCGCCACCAGAUCCGAAUAUGAACGACGCAGAUGUCUCCAAGCAGAUCCAGCAGAUGGUGAGGCUCAUUCGCCAGGAAGCUGAGAAGGCCAGCGAAAUCUCCGUUUCUGCCGAAGAAGAGUUGAGCCUCUGUUGAUUCUACUGCAGGGCAGUAGACUGCUAUUAAACAGGAAUAAUCAGUAGGGUAUGCUGCACUCAAGCUACAAUUGAGUUUUGGACAGUACAGGUGAUGGAUGCAAGCUCGAGUUUCCAAUGUAUGAAUCAAGUCUCUGUCACAUCCAUUCUCCUGCUUUUUGAUUAGUUCUCUAAAGUUGGCAUCAGAGCUGCGCGACGUCAAAAUACAGCCUGUCACCUAAUCAGAUACAUUUAAAAGUGAACAUUUGUCUGUUUCUUGAGAAAAUGCUGUCGUGUCUGUGACUCUGACCAUGCCAAAGCUGCCAGCUGCAGUACUGGGAUAAAACCAGCAGCACAGUUCUGUCUUACCACUUUCAGUUCAUCUGUCUAUGUAAGACUUUGACUAAUCUCAGCCUGUUAUUACUUAUAUGGCAUCCCAACUCGGCAAUUCUGAUGUUGAUAUAUGAUUUCAGCUUUUUACUUCUAGGUAUGUGAUUUUUCUACUUUCUGGUAUUACUUGUUUCACACAUGGAAACACAUUAAUUCAUCGUAAUGAUGGCUGUGCAACUGAAACUUCACCAUUUUCUGUUCCAUCUUAACAAAUUAUGCCAAUGUGUAAUAUUCUACUUCCUUUUAGAAGUUGGAGUUCGUCAUCCACAAUAUUAUAUGAGCUCUUCCAACUCAUUAGUAGCAACUAUGUCAUCGACUUUGCACUAUUUAGAGCUUUUGGAGCAUACGUUAUCACACACGCAACAAAUUUGUCAUGGGGUAAUCCUAUACCACAUGCAGGGCUGUUUGCAUAAUGACAAUUCCUUCGAAGAAUCUCUUUAAGAAUGACGGGGCUCAUGCAAGACACAUGGCGCAGCUUCUUACAUUAAUCACAGUCCAGACUAUAUGAGAAUCAACUUCAAUGUGUUAAUGUUCGCUUAGGAAAGACCGAGUUGAUGGUACUAUGAAGAGCAGCUACUUAAUUAUCAUACAUCUACUCCAUACACUUACAAUGUGGAAAACUCAAUUCUUCCAACAUUUUCUUCAACCAAACAAGUAAAUAAGUAGUGGGAGCCAUAGCUUUAUACUCUGAUCCAAUACUUGGCCAGAAUUGCUUAUUUCUUACUUUUCCAAGAAAUCAAAUUACUACCAACCAAGAUACAAUACGUAGAACUCAGUUAUGAAUCUUCAGUUGGAAGGCGACCCGACCCAAUCUAUAUUCGUAUAUUCUCGAAUAUAAGUUUGACCUUGAAUGAAUGUGUUGAUCUUGGUAGAUUACAUUGAAUGAAAUUUUGUUUGGUAAACUCUUUCUUGAAAAGUUUAAUGCACAUAUGGUGAUAAUUUGAAGUAAAAGGGAUAAUGAUGA